CGCAGGCGCAGAGACCGGUCACUAACUGGAGUUGCUCAUUUCCAGGAAGGACGGAGAUGCUCCAGGUAGGAACAGCUAUGUCAGGAUUUCAGUGAGUCCCCGCAGUCCAUCCAGAUCUGCGGGCAGAGGCGUCUCCUCAUUCCUGGAUGUGCAAAGCCCAGCGCUCACGUUGGAUCAGGGCGGAAGGCACCACGGCGCUGUUGGGGCAUCUCGAGGGGUGACGAUUUGGGGAGCAGGACUAGAAAAGCUAAAGGAGGCGCCCCGUUGAAGGCGCGAACAUUGGUGCGGCAUCUCCCGAUGUGGCUGCUUGGCGACGGAAGUUAAUAAAGGGGUGGCACAAACAAAUCCAGCCUGGUUACCGAGCAAGCGGAAAGGGCCUCCCGAAAUAGCUGGGGAAACUUCCAGAUGUGUGUGCUGCAAUCCCGCCGCUCGGCGGAUGGGGCCCGCCCGGCCAGCGAAAUCGUUUCUGUCUUCUUCCCUCACUCCUGGCCCCUCCUGACCACUUCAAUGGUUUCUAUCCAAAUCGGCCUUUUCGCUAAGUCUGGAACCUUGCCUGUAAGGUGAAACUACGUUUCAUCACUUGGCGGAGAGUUCAAUUAAAAAAAAAAAAAAGGAUCAAUAAAUUGUCACAUUGUUUU